rnacentral:rRNA from 1 species
CUCCGGUUGAUCCCGUCGGACCCGACUGCUAUCAGAGUGGGACUAAGCCAUGCGAGUCGACAUAGCAAUAUGUGGCAUACGGCUCAGUAACACGUAGUCAACAUGCCCAGGGGACGUGGAUAACCUCGGGAAACUGAGGAUAAACCGCGAUAAGCCAAGGUUUCUGGAAUGGACACUGGCUGAAACCUAUACGGCCCCUGGAUUGGACUGCGGCCGAUCAGGCUGUUGGUGAGGUAAUGGCCCACCAAACCUGUAACCGGUACGGGCUUUGAGAGAAGGAGCCCGGAGAUGGGCACUGAGACAAGGGCCCAGGCCCUAUGGGGCGCAGCAGGCGCGAAACCUCUGCAAUAGGCGAAAGCUUGACAGGGUUACUCUGAGUGAUGCCCGCUAAGGGCAUCUUUUGGCACCUCUAAAAAUGGUGCAGAAUAAGGGGUGGGCAAGUCUGGUGUCAGCCGCCGCGGUAAUACCAGCACCCCGAGUGGUCGGGACGAUUAUUGGGCCUAAAGCAUCCGUAGCUUGUUCUGCAAGUCCUCCGUUAAAUCCAGCUGCUCAACAGAUGGGCUGCGGGAGAUACUACAGGGCUAGGAGGCGGGAGAGGCAAGCGGUACUUUAUGGGUAGGGGUAAAAUCCGCUGAUCCAUAGAAGACCACCAGUGGCGAAGGCGGCUUGCCAGAACGCGCUCGACGGUGAGGGAUGAAAGCUGGGGGAGCAAACCGGAUUAGAUACCCGGGUAGUCCCAGCUGUAAACGAUGCAGACUCGGUGAUGAGUUGGCUUAUUGCUAACUCAGUGCCGCAGGGAAGCCGUUAAGUCUGCCGCCUGGGUAGUACGGUCGCAAGACUGAAACUUAAAGAAUUGGCGGGGGAGCA